rnacentral:other from 1 species
GGCGUACUGCGCUUCCCGACAGGAGUAAUAGCAUCCCCGGGGCCUUAUUGAUCUCUAAGGGAGCUGUCCCUGUGAAGGCCCGUGGGCUUUCGCAUAUGGCGCCCACCUACUUUGUAGGUUCCCGGGAUCAAUCUCUUCCAUCGGUCGUCGUGGUCGCCA